CUCUAGACUUAGGAUCUAGUUAAAUAGAAAUUAAUUCUAUAGAUAGUAGAAAGUUAGUGUCUUGCUAACUGUUUU
rnacentral:tRNA from 1 species